GACAGUCAAAGGCUUGCAAUGAAAUCUAUACACACAAAUACUGACAUAGUACACAGUUUACACACACAUGCAUGCAUAUGUAAUGCACACACAAACACACACACACACACAUGCUUUGUCAGUUGAAAACCAAAGCCUGGAAGAUGUUCUCUCUGCCAUGCAGGGUCAUAACGUGUCCACAGCCACAACGGAACAUAAACAGACAAAAAACUCAAACAGUGWAAGAAUACRAACCACAGAACCACAGCCUUCCCUCUUUUUUCCUCUCUUUCAUCUGCUGCCCAAAGCUGUAAGAACGUCCUUUUGGGAUGCAAGUCAUUGAUGAGUAAAAGUGAGCCAACUCAGGGCCCAUACGUGCAGAAGCAGUGGGAGCGGUUCUGACCUCAGGCCAGAUUAMAAUAAGGAACAUUUGGGACUCGCUGCCUCACCUUCUGGCCUGCCGUCSCUGCUCUCAGAAUGGUGCUGACMCAGACUGCUCGCACUCUCCAGAARGUUAUUCCUGCAGAUGGACGAGGCUGUGCUGCAGACAGUGGCGUGUACAGACUCUGUAGAGGAAUCACGAACACUCAGGUCCAUCACUGGAAAAAAGGUGAGGAAAGGURAAAAGCAGAAGGAGAUGACGGCCUCUGGUGCAGCUCCUCUCAGCAUGGAUUUCCAGGAGGAAAGCUGCACAUUGUGGAACUGCUUCUUAGCAWUUUUUAAAAGCCAGAAGACUGAAAAGAUGCAACUCUCUGGAUUUCUUUUUUUUACUGUUCCAACCACUUAAACAACAGUUCAGAAGAUCCCCAAAAAACCUGUAAUGUAAAAUAUAUAUAUAUGCUGUUGAUAUGUACAUGGGUCUUAAUUAUUUUCCGUAGUCUCCCUUAUUAUUUUUUGUGAUAAGCUGUACUUUUUUUUACUCUCUAAAGCAGCUUGAACAGUUAAUGUACUUGGCAGUUUAUAAAUGACUUACAAAGAGUAUAAACUGCUCUGGUUUAUUGUGGUGAUGGCUGCAAAGAUGAAUUUUAUGCCCUGUAGAGUUAUAACUGAAAAGCUGAAUGAAUGUGGAUAAAAAACAAAAACAAAUGUAUCGUUUUUCCUUCCCCUUUUCUACACUGUACUGCUCACAUUUUACUGGAUGAAUCAGGCUCUGGGUCAGUUUCCCCCUUCGUCAUGUCGUACCAUCCUUUCCGUUUCGUACCCACAAGCACAGCUAUGCGUCGUAUAUKACUGUAUUCCCUUUCAUAAUUAAUUGGGGUGUAAAAAUACAACCAGCUCAGGAGACAAUAUGAGAUUUUAAAAUUUGUAAAAACACUUAGAAAACUCUGUUAUGGUAUUAUGCUAUUUUUUUUUACCAUUUUCAGUUUAAGAAUCUGAAAAUGGUGUUGAACAUCACAGUCCAGGUUUGACUUCAUUUAUUGUGGUUUUUGUGUAAGUCUAAUUCUAAUUCUGUCACAAACAGGAUUAGAAUUAGGGAAUUGUCCCUUUUUGUCUUUUCUCAAAUGAAAUCUGAGACUGUGGGUCAUGCUAAAGUAUAAUUCAGCUUCCGUCAGUCUAAACCAGUGGUGUCCAAAUCCUCCUUUGACAUCAGACAUUGAUGCUGGACGCUGUGUGUUUAGGCAGCCUGCUCAGAGGUUGCAGACCCAAAGGGGCCUGGCUUGAAACUCAGCAUUCAUCUGAGCAAUGUGCUGGAUGAAUGAGGGACUUCCAAACGGGGAAACCCUGAAAGGCCUGAAUUUAUGUUAGAYACUCGUGAAACUUUCUCAAAUUCUUUCAGUGCAUGAAACACACUGGAUGUUUCCAGUUCAGUAUUCACAGAUUCACCUAUYUGUGGAUUUUUCUGUGCAGCAUAACUCCAAAUUAUUUGUGGAAAAUCCAUUCAUUCCUCAAUUUCUUUCAAAGAGCUUGUCUGCAUUUUUUGGAAAGACAAUUCCUGAGAUUAAUGCGACUWGAUACACUGUCAAAGCAGCCAAUCCAGGUGCACCAUUUAUUGUCCCUGGUGCUGAUUGGCUGUAACCCCAGAAUCGGCGAUAAGGGAGAGUAGAUAUUAGCUUCUGCAGCAGYGCUGAGACGGUUUAUGUGUGUUGAAGCAUUUCAAAGUAUAUUUGGUAUUUGAACUAUUAAAAUAGGCAGUUAAAAGUGUUUUUGCAAAGUUUGUAUUAAUUGAAUCCACAAUUAAAUUCAUUUGAAUUUUGAUUUAAUGAACUGAGUCAAAGUACGAAAUGGCGAAGGGAUGAAAUGACCAGCAUUGUKUUUAUUUACCGAAAAUCUGUUGCAUCWCUAAGCCAGUAGGGGCGCUAGUUUACCCAACCCAUGUUUUAAAGUUGUAAAUAUUUUAAUACCACUUUACAAUAUUAUACAUCAAAUUUAGUUCAAAUUCAAACCUAGUUAUUUAUUCACUAUCUUAAAAUUAUUUAUCUAAUUUAAAUGACUUUUUUAUGAAAAAAGUCUAAAACUCCCCAGCCUAAGAAUACUGCAGGUWUUCUUGCUUUGUUCUUGUUAUACUAACCAAAAGYUCUUUGAUACUAACAGCUUUCUUGAACUGAACCCAAACAGCCAUGCAGAGUUCUGCUUCUGCAGGGUGAAACAGGAGAAAGUGAGCGCAACGUUACACCGAUUUCCCUUCCCUGAAGCCAACUCUGCCCAGAGGCUGAAAUAUUCACUAGCUAGCAGGUUCCUGUUCUCCGYGUUCCUGAGCGGGACGAAAGGAAUCUGCCUUCAUUCGACCUUGGGCUCCAUUCACAGGCCACGCUUCACACUGGGAUCCCAUUACAAUGCAGAGCAGCAGCUACAGCCACUCCACUCACUUCACUCAAACUUGUUGUGCUAACUCUGCUGACAGUCGCCCUGGAUGUAUUCUCCCUUUUCUACUCAUAAAUGUUAGUUAUUUUUCAUUAUUACAUCACAUUUAAUAUACUUUACAUUUUUUAUGUUYUUGUCUCUUGGGUGUCUUCCAAUAAUAAUGAAAAAACUUUAGAUUUUCUUUGAAGUAGCAAAGAAAAACAUAAGUCAAAUACACUUAUAGACUUAUAAUAUACCUAAAACUUGUUUCCUUGUUUUAUGCUGAAAGUGAGCAUUUUAAAUACUAUUAUGUUUUUAUGCAACAUUUUGUCACAUAAACAGAUGAAUUAUGUUUAAUCUACCUUGUAAAUGCAUUUAUACCCUUUGAGCUUUUGCAUGAGUUCAUGUUACAACCAAAAAAAUCUAUUUCAUUUUUAGAAAGUAAAGCAUAUAACUGGGAAUUAGAAGAAAAAUUUAAAUUUUUUAAACAUUUUUUUAAACAUACAAAUAAAGAAAYCUUGUGUUUAGAUCCUACCAUCUUGCCCUCUGAAGGAAAUAAUUCUCACUUCCACAUUUUCACUUUGUCCAAAACUCUUCACCACCACCGGUUCUCCAGAUCUUCCCUGACUAAURAUCUCCUUUCCCAGGUGGCUUUGCAGGUGAUGCUCAUGCGUUUCCACCUCUGGAUGAAGGGCUGAGCGGUGCUUCAUGUUUAUGUCAUUGCCACAUCCGGUGAUCAUUGUUUAUGUUUCUCUACCAGAAUAAAAAAAAAGUGCAUCGAGGUUUGGGGUUCUGAAAAAAUGCAGAAAUGUUCAAAGGGUAUAAAUACUUUUGCAAGGCAUUUUAUAACUGCUGCAUAUUAGGGCUAAGAUGUGAUGAAAAUUAUCGUCACUUUCCUAAAACAAUGCCUCAAGUUUUUUUCUUUCUUAGUUUUUUUUUUUUUUUGCUAAAAAUGAUCUGUUUUGCAACACAAAGGGGUGAUUCUUUCUUUUUUUUUUUGCAGAAAUCACUUUUGGCCAAAAAUGACAUAUUUUACAAAGGUGAUGUUUUCUAAUAUUGUUUUCAAAAGCACACUUAUGUUUUAUUUAUUUCCUUUGCAAGAAUAUAUUUAUUUAAUAAACUAGACUUAGAAGUUUUUAAUUCCACAUGUUGUGUAGGUUGGAAAAAAGUUUGAUUACUUUUUCCAUUUAUGCAUACCAUUUUCCGUGGCUUUAUUCAGAAAUGAUAUUUUUUUCACAUCACACUUUAUUGUUGUCAUUAUUGCCCUUUAACUGCCAUCRUCACUGUGUCCCGGUUUACAGAGUUCUGCUCUGUUCAGCUCAUAAAGGUCCAGAUUCCCUCCAUCUUCUGCUUCACUGAUAUCAUGUGUCCACUCAUCCUGUUGCCUUUUCACACAAAUAAUAUUUCUGUGAUACAUUUCUUUCACUGCAGCUCUGUCAUACAAAGGCUGGAUGUUUAACUGUUUUAAGACUUGUGGUUYGUUCUAGAAAUACAUUAAAAUGUGCUCUGGGGGCCUCCUUUGUCAAACAAGCUUGUUAAACAUUGUGCUUUUCCACAUYGUGGCCUCUAAAAGGCCGAGUGGUUCCAGGAUAACAGUCUGUCUUUCCACUUACUGUCCUUGCCAGCCAAGCAAGACAAGAACAGGAAGUUUGAAACUGGUUUUGUGCUGGAGUUUUCUCCUGCCAGAGGAUGUCUGUCAUUAAAAAAUGACAUCAUUCUGUCUUUGCAUCAUUUCACCACUCCUGCAGAGGGCAAUACAUGGACUGACUAAACAACUGCCUUCUACAACUAGUUCAAAAAGGGAAAUAAAGUUUGAAGUGAAUCUCA